UCAGAUUCUACCUUGUCUUCUUAUGCCAUAAAGCACGAGUUAGUUACCUCUUGUAGUUCCUUGGAGCUAAUAUCAUCAUUGUUGCUUCUAACUUUUAUUUUCUUGCUUGACUCUUUCUUGGUCAAGGCUUUCUUCCUUUUUAUCUCUUUCUUCCUUUCUUCUUGCUUCCUCUUCUUCUUUGUCUUUAGGAAGCUUUUGAAUCUUUCUUCCUGAUUUAGAGUGUUUCCUGCAUGCUCAAUGUUAGUCUUGCAAUUAUCCUCAAGUAAAC
rnacentral:lncRNA from 1 species